CCACAGAGGCUCGGAGACAGGCAACUGGAAGCAGAGAGGUGGACAGAGUCUCCGUCUUUUUCACAACAGAUGCAUUCAACCAUUCAGCGAAGGUUUGGGGAAGUUUCGGUAUUUGAUGGGAUUGGUUCUCUCCCCCUUUUCCCUGAGUAGCGCUCAAGUCUGCAUGUCGGUGAGCCUGGGCACGCCACUACUGGGUGGAAGGAUCAGGACGGUAGGCCCUGGGAACAGCCCCCUCCCGUCACCCUCCUGAAAGGAUGCCCUCUCUCCCACUCCCACAACUGCCUCGGGCCCGGCCUUCCCCUCCCCCGCCCAGGCUGGCCUCCAGCGCAGGGUGAACUCGGCUGGGGUGUCACUCGACGCCCACUAGGGGCUGAGGAGGCUCCAGUGCGCAGGCUCCGGGCACCGGAUAAAAGCGGAGCUGGCGAGUCCGGCGCCGUCUCGAUGGAGGAGCGAGAAACGGAAGAGGUCGGGGGGAGAAGCAGCUGGAAAAACACCGCCACCGUCAGCGCCGCCUCCCUGCCACCGUGUAUCGGGGUAAAAAGCUGCCGUUGCCAUCGGUGCAGUUGCCGUCGCUGCCUCCUACUUCUCUUGGCCCCGGGGAAUGAUUUCCCCGCCGGCGGGACAAUGUGCGGGGAGGGGAGCGGGCACUCCUUUAUGUGGCGGUGAUUAAACGAGGGUGGGACAGGGAGACGGUUAUCUCGAAGAAAAAAGGGAGAGGCCAAAGAAUAAAACAAGGGUUUCCCCACUAAAAUGACACGGUGAUUCCGGUUCUUGUUCUGGGGGUCUUUCCCCGACAUGGCGGUUUCCGUCUUCUAGCCCCACAGCGACCCGGGGCGCUGGGUAAGAGGAGUGGGGAGAGUCAGAGGCAGUCCGGACAGCCAAUCAGUGCCUGAUGUGUUCUGUCGGGCGCGUCGUGAUUGGCUGGCGAUGACCUCAUGCUGCAGCAGCGGGUGGGGCCAGCGCUGUCGGCGGAGGCUGUUGCAAAGGCAGAGAGGGAGAAUUGACGAUGGCGAUCGUUCCUGCCGCGGCGAUGUGGGACCCAAGCAGUGGCGAAGGGAAUCUCAAGGCUCUUCCCUGACCAUUUUCUCCUGUCCCUGCGCGAGGUAGCUAUGAAUUUACAGUGCAAUCCUACAGGGAAAGAAGGGAGAGAACACUGCUAUUUUGAGCUGCACACAGAAGAAAUGCAUCACAUCUGAGAUUUGAUAGUCCCUCUCCUCUCUAUUCCUGUUCCUGUUGAACAGGAAAACUACAUGAUGAAAGUCCCUCCAGAAAGUCUCCGUAAUGCCACUUCCCACUUGCCCCGGCCGGGACGCACUCUGCCCAGACUCAGCGUAGCGCAGCCGCCAUCUUCUGGAAACGCUGGUAGCGGCCGGUGUGUCCAUUGUCCUGGGUGCCGAGAGGAAAUGACAUCCCCGGCCUAGAUUUGGUGUGCUUGUAGCAUCAUUGUGUUUUCAUUUCACAGAGGAAAUGGAGAUGAAGGAAGAGGUAGACUAGCUUCUUCCCUGGUGCGUUUUAAUUAUUUAUUUAUUUAUUUAUUUAUUUAUUUAUUUAUUUAU